rnacentral:piRNA from 1 species
UUCUCCGUUCAUAUAGAAAGG